CAACCACUCGAUUGAUGCUUUUAUAGGUCAAAAAUAGCAUCUUGUUUCACUUCACAGCUUGCUCAAGUGAUUUGCGAGGCCAUAAAGCAGAAUCUUUGUUCGAUUAACGACUCGGUUCAGAAUUCAAACAUUGUCGCAUCUGGAAAGAUGACAGCUCCUUUAAAAGGCCACCUAAAAUGGUGACAUGUGGUUUUUAUUGAAGAUGAAAUAUCUCUGAUUAGUUCAACUUUAAUCUCAUUUUAUUGAUUAAACAUUUGGAUGAUUA